rnacentral:rRNA from 1 species
GACGAACCGUGCAAACGUUAUUCGGAAUCACUGGGCAUAAAGGGCGCGUAGGCGGCUCCAAAAGUCAGGGGUGAAAUCCGGCAGCUUAACUGUCGCAGUGCCUUUGAUACUGUGGAGCUAGAGGGAGGUAGGGGUCUGUGGAACUUCCGGUGGAGCGGUGAAAUGCGUAGAGAUCGGGAGGAACACCAGAGGCGAAGGCGGCGACCUGGACAGGUACUGACACUCAACUACGAAAGCGUGGGGAGCAAACAGG